rnacentral:rRNA from 1 species
UGGGGAAUUUUGGACAAUGGGGGCAACCCUGAUCCAGCAAUGCCGCGUGUGUGAAGAAGGCCUUCGGGUUGUAAAGCACUUUUGUCCGGAAAGAAAACGCCGUGGUUAAUACCCGUGGCGGAUGACGGUACCGGAAGAAUAAGCACCGGCUAACUACGUGCCAGCAGCCGCGUAAUACGUAGGGUGCAAGCGUUAAUCGGAAUUACUGGGCGUAAAGCGUGCGCAGGCGGUCCGCUAAGACAGAUGUGAAAUCCCCGGGCUUAACCUGGGAACUGCAUUUGUGACUGGCGGGCUAGAGUAUGGCAGAGGGGGGUAGAAUUCCACGUGUAGCAGUGAAAUGCGUAGAGAUGUGGAGGAAUACCGAUGGCGAAGGCAGCCCCCUGGGCCAAUACUGACGCUCAUGCACGAAAGCGUGGGGGAGCAAACAGGAUUCAGAUACCCUGGUAGUCCACGCCCUAAACGAUGUCAACUAGUUGUCGGGUCUCAUUGACUGGUAACGUAGCUAACGCGUGAAGUUGACCGCCUGGGGAGUACGGUC